CCUACGGGCGGCAGCAGUGGGGAAUAUUGGACAAUGGGCGAAAGCCUGAUCCAGCCAUGCCGCGUGUGUGAAGAAGGCCUUCGGGUUGUAAAGCACUUUCAGUGGGGAAGAAAGCCUUGGGGCUAAUACCCUCGAGGAAGGACAUCACCCACAGAAGAAGCACCGGCUAACUCCGUGCCAGCAGCCGCGGUAAUACGGAGGGUGCGAGCGUUAAUCGGAAUUACUGGGCGUAAAGCGCGCGUAGGCGGUCUGAUAAGCCGGUUGUGAAAGCCCCGGGCUCAACCUGGGAACGGCAUCCGGAACUGUCAGGCUAGAGUGCAGGAGAGGAAGGUAGAAUUCCCGGUGUAGCGGUGAAAUGCAUAGAGAUCGGGAGGAAUACCAGUGGCGAAGGCGGCCUUCUGGACUGACACUGACGCUGAGGUGCGAAAGCGUGGGUAGCAAACAGGAUUAGAUACCCUAGUAGUC
rnacentral:rRNA from 1 species